UUUGUACUCCCUCCGUCCGGAAAUACUUGUCCUAGAAAUGAAUAAAAUGGAUGUAUCUAUAACUAAAAUAAGUCUAUAUACAUCCAUUUCUAGGACAAGUAUUUUCGGACGGAGGGAGUAUUAU
rfam:Hordeum vulgare subsp. vulgare, WGS project CAJW01000000 data, contig: morex_contig_148658